GUUGUGGAGUGUAGCGAGGCGCGGACGGAGGAGCCGUAGUCAACGUUCUCUCUCUCACACUGUCAGUGACUUUACCUCCUGAGCCACGAGGGCUUCAGCUGGCGAGGUGUGCUCAGUUACUGUGCUUCUGAACGUUUAUACACUGGUUCAGCCAUUCACCUCGUGUAGGACGGAUGGUACAUACAGAACGUCGGGGAAAUUCAGGCACAGUUUUAUUAAAACAUCGAGGAAACUUUUGAACAAAGAUGGAAAAAUAGUGAUUAUCUUACCCGAUUCUGCAGUGAAGUAGGUGGAAAGGUAGCUUGGUACGACAAUAAAUCUUCGAAAACUUGCAACACACGCAACCGUAGUAUCAGUAUAAAAUUUGUUUGCAAGUCCAGUGCCUCAGUGGAGAGUUGCACAACACAUCCAUAGACACGUUAGUAAUCUCUCACUCUACAGCAAUAGGCUGAGUAACGACCCCCCCUCGCUAAACAACCAUCGCCUAACAGGCAAGCCCCUACGUUCAGCCAUAGUCUCGGUGCAAAACUUUCACAAUGAAGCCAUAUCAUCAGGCACAAGUCCUACAAGACAACAACACAAGAUGUAUACAACUUUCAGCAACAGGAUGAAUUUUCAUUUUCACCAAAAAUCGAAAAGUUGUAUCUUUUUCUUGUUGGAACCUAUUCUAUUGACUCUUGCUUGUUGCUUGUGUCAACAAUAACAACGACAAUGACUGAACGCAAGAUUUCGAGUCGGUCUUUAACUGCUUAUAUAAGAGGACAUUGAGUUACCAAAGAGGAUGGAGGACGAGGCUGUAUCUUCGGUCUCCUACUCAUCAACGGAGACUAACGUUCAGUUGGUAUCUCCCAGGAAGAACGACGAUAUACUCAGCUUGCCUCCCAGAGGGCAGAAGUGCUGAAGGACUUUUGGAAUAGCUUGCCUCUCGACGGAGUGUAUUGUAACGCCACCUGGGACUCUCUUUACUGCUGGCCGGCAACACGAGCCGGCAUGAGUGUCAACGAGUCUUGUGCCACAGUCUUCAGUGACGUCCCUGACCUCCUUCACUAUC